rnacentral:hammerhead_ribozyme from 1 species
GUUCACAGCUGACGAGUCCUAAAUAAGACGAAACGCACUUCCUGGAC